GUACUUACCUGGCAGGGAGAGACCAUGAUCAAAAAGGCAGUUCUCCCAGGAUGAGGAUAUCCCAUUGCACUUCGGGACUCCUGAUGCCAGUGAUGUCCCCAAAUGCGAGAUACUCAACUGCACAAUUUGUGGUAGUGGGUACUGCGUUCACGCUCUG